rnacentral:lncRNA from 1 species
AGGAAAUUUUUGUGAAACAUUAUCUAUGCUGUGUAUCUAAAGGGUCCCUUCCUUUAUAUUUUGCUUUUAGACUUCCUCUUAAAGAAGUGCUGUAAAGUCCUGCAUAUACACUUAACCUGAGGCCCUGCUACAUCAUCAGUUCCAUCUACAUAUCACUUGAGCAGUUCUUCAUGAUGUGCAGCAGCUGCCCUGCUGGGUCACGUGCUCGUGCAGUACUGUGCUUGUCACCUGGGCAGCCAUGCUCAGCAUCUGCGUGGCCCUUGCACAGAGAGGCUGUUAGCAUGUCAUCUUCCAUACCUGUGAUUCAGGAGGACAUGACAUACAAUAAGCUUCUUCUGGCCUUCUCUCAGGAACUUUAUGCUAUUGCCUUGAACUUCAACAGCAUAGAAUCUCUAAUGGCUGCAGAUGUUUCUCCCAGAGCAUGGUAUGGAGGCUUGGAGCAAGACGUCUUUCCCACAGAUGGCAAAGUGUCAAACGAGUUCAGGAGAUGA